CGCCCACGCCGCGCGCGGACUCCCGCCCGGCCUUGGCUCCCUGAGCUCCGCUCCUCGCCUCCCGGACCUGCGUUCUGGAGGAUGGCGCCGAUUUCGCGCUCGAUGUCCUCCAGGGCGCGCAGCCGCUCGUUCGCCAGGCUUUUCCAGGUUCAAGAUUCCAGGAUGCUCCUUGGGAAACUUGAUUACCCAGGGUUCUAACAAAAUCCUUAGCCAGACAAGACCAUGUUGAAAUUCAUUGCUGGGUUGAUUACAGAAGAAUGGCAUGGAAAACUACAUCAUGAAGAUAUGAAAAGAUCAUCAUGGGCCGGGCAGUGGUAGCACACGCCUUUAAUCCCAGCACUGCAGAGGCAGAGACAGAGGCAGGAAACCCCAAUUGACUCACCGAAUCUGCUGACAAUGAUGAUUCAGAUGACGGUGUGGCAGCAGCCUGAGGAGGGGCCCAGAGAAAGCUAAAGCCCACCGGGAGAGGAAAGAAGCGGAAGAUCCAGCCCUCUGCCUGGGGGACGCGUGUGAACGUCCCUAACUCCUGUGGUUUGGAGCCUCUGGCAUCCUCCCCUCCUGUUUAUUAUGCCCGCCAGUUCCACCUACCCUUUCCUGCCAAGCUGUUGGCCAUUCAGCGAUUUAUUAGACCAUCAGGUGUUUUAGACAGGCACAGUAUCACAGCUUCACAGAGUUAGACAAAUACAACAUAAAAGAAUGCAGCACAUCUCUGCAUCAUUAAACAAAUGUCCACAGCGUUAACAAAUAAAUGUACACAUCUUAAACUAAUGUCCCACAACAAGAGACAGUCUUAGCGCUGACCCCAGGCCAAAUGAGUCACAGUCUGUGUUGAAAGGUCCUAGGUGACUUGUAUGCACAAUAAAAUGUGUGAAACACUGCCCAAGGGCACUUACUGUGCAUGCGUGGUGAGACCUGAGUUGUCCCUGCCCUGAGCUGGGGCAGGUGGAAAAAAGGAAGAGGAGGAGGACGAGACCUGUGUUAGGAGCCUGGCUUCGAAGUGGCUCACAUUUCAUCAAAGGAAACUUAGCCACAUGUUUUCACCACCUCUGGAAAAUGCAGGCCUUUUCUAAGUGGCCGGCUACUGCGGCUACACCUCAGGAGGAUAGAUUUUUAAGGGGGUAUGUAGAGAUUCACAAAGCUAAACUCCCAGUUAGGAAGACAGAAUAAAAACAUUUUGGUCUGUACAGACUGUCAGAUUUCCCCAGGGAAGAGGCAGCUAGGACAUCCACGAGCUGAGAAAGAGGUCAUUUAUGAGAGGUGACUACGAACCCCAGAUCAAUAGAAAGAUUGUGAAGUAUGUCUUCAAGGAGAUGAAAGGGAUGAACAUCCUUAAUUUUGAAAGGACGAAAAUGUAGAUUCUUGGAAGAGAGUAUAGGGCUGGAUUCAUGAUGCAUUUGGAGAAUAAGUGAAUUUCAAAUGACUAUUACUCCGGGGAAACAAGGUUGUAUAAAAAUAGAGGGCCACAGAGUCCACUAUAAAUCUUCGCCAAGGCAUAAUUCAGUACCGGAUAUUGAUCGGACCCCAACUGGUACAAUC